GGGGCGUACCUAAAGCAUUUGGCACCCGGGGCGGGUCCUAUUUUUGGCACCCCCCCUUGCUCCCCCCCCCUCAACUUUAAAUAUAAAAACAACUAAAAAAUGUUUUAAUGUAUUUAGCACUAAGCAGUGUUCGUGUUUUUGAAUGUAUGCAUGUUUUUGUAUGGAGUAUAUGUGAGUGAAUGUAGCGGUGUGUUUGUAUGUAGUGUUGGCGUUUGAAUGCAAGCAUGCAUUUGUGUGUUGUGUGGUAUUUGAAUGCAGUGGUAUGGUUAUAUAUAAUGGUGGGGUUUGUAUGUAGUGUUGACGCUGAAAUACAAGAGUGUAUUUGUGUAUAGUGUUGGCGAGAUUUUUAUAUGUCUG